GAUGAACGCUGGCGGCGUGCUUAAUACAUGCAAGUCGAACGGACAGGCCCUGCUUUUGUGGGGUGCUCGAGUGGCGAACGGGUGAGUAACACGUGAGUAUCCUGUCCUUGUCUUUGGGAUAACUUCAGGAAACUGCGGCUAUUAUCGGAUAGGAGCUCCUGCUGCAUGGUGGGGGUUGGAAAGUUUCGGCGGUUGGGGAUGGACUCGCGGCUUAUCAGCUUGUUGGUGGGGUAGUGGCUUACCAAGGCUUCGACGGGUAGCCGGCCUGAGAGGGUGACCGGCCACAUUGGGACUGAGAUACGGCCCAGACUCCUACGGGAGGCAGAAGGGGGGAAUAUUGCAGAAUGGGCGGAAGCCUGAGGCAGCAACGCCGCGUGCGGGAUGACGGCCUUCGGGUUAUAAACCGCUUUCGCCUGUGACGAAGCGUGAGUGACGGUAAUGAGUAAAGAAGCACCGGCUAACUACGUG
rnacentral:rRNA from 1 species